GCUAAAGCCACGCCCCUUCUGGUCGCUCACCCUUGUCUGUCGCCGGUAUCGAGCAUUUCGUGCGUUGUGUGGUUGGAGUGUUGUGCCACUACGUACUGAGGCUGAGCACCUGUGGUGGGGACGUGGUGUCGUUGGAGGUGGUACCCCCCCACCCCACACCCCUGUGUGAUGUGUGAACCCUGGGUAUUUUUUUUUUUGUUUAAUCCUUCACGUGUGUGCGUGUGAUUUUUCCUCAUUCACCUGGUGACCUCUCCCUGGGCCCUGUUCCUCCCCUCCGGUGACACAUCCUGCCACAUGAUGCUUCUUCAGGCUGGAUUCUUGCUGAUGACCAUCUCUAGCGGAAGAUAUGUGAAGUUAUUCCAAACAGAAACUUAAAUGUGCAGACGUCCGUUUCCUGGAAAUAUCCUGUGAAGGUAAAGCCCCUCCUUCGUGCAGAG